CUGUCCUUAGCCGGGCUAUCCGAGUUGUAAUUUGGAGGAGCAUCUUCGGAGGCGGCAGCCGUCCCAAGUUCCGUGGAACCGGACGUCACAGAGGGUGAGAAUCCCGUGUCUGGGCGGCGUUGCUCGUCUUCGUGCGAAGUGCUUCCGACGAGUCGAGUUGUUUGGGAAUGCAGCUCAAAAUGGGUGGUAAAUUUCAUCUAAAGCUAAAUAUUGGCGAGAGACCGAUAGCGCACAAGUAGAGUGAUCGAAAGAUGAAAAGCACUUUGAAAAGAGAGUUAAAAAGUACGUGAAAUUGUUGAAAGGGAAGCGCUUGAGAUCAAACUCAGCCUUGUGGUGAAGCUGUGAGUUCGCUCGGAGCCGCUCGCCUUUGGCUGGGCCAGCAUCGGUUUUGACGGCGGGAGAAACGGCUUGGGAAUGUGGCUUUUCUUCGGGAGAGUGUUAUAGCCCGAUGCCAAAAUACUGCCAGUCGAGACCGAGGAACCCCCCCGCGCCCUUCUUUUUUGUUGGGGCUAGGAUGC
rnacentral:rRNA from 1 species